GAUGAACGCUGGCGGCGUGCCUAAUACAUGCAAGUCGAGCGAACAGAUGAGGAGCUUGCUCCUCUGACGUUAGCGGCGGACGGGUGAGUAACACGUGGAUAACCUACCUAUAAGACUGGGAUAACUUCGGGAAACCGGAGCUAAUACCGGAUAAUUUAUUGAACCGCAUGGUUCAAUAGUGAAAGACGGUUUUGCUGUCACUUAUAGAUGGAUCCGCGCCGCAUUAGCUAGUUGGUAAGGUAACGGCUUACCAAGGCAACGAUGCGUAGCCGACCUGAGAGGGUGAUCGGCCACACUGGAACUGAGACACGGUCCAGACUCCUACGGGAGGCAGCAGUAGGGAAUCUUCCGCAAUGGGCGAAAGCCUGACGGAGCAACGCCGCGUGAGUGAUGAAGGUCUUCGGAUCGUAAAACUCUGUUAUUAGGGAAGAACAAAUGUGUAAGUAACUAUGCACGUCUUGACGGUACCUAAUCAGAAAGCCACGGCUAACUACGUG
rnacentral:rRNA from 1 species